rnacentral:rRNA from 1 species
GACGAACGCUGGCGGCGUGCUUAACACAUGCAAGUCGAACGGGUCUGCCCUGUUUUUUGCGGGGUGGGUCAGUGGCGAACGGGUGAGUAACACGUGAGUAACCUGCCCCUCACUUCUGGAUAACCGCUUGAAAGGGUGGCUAAUACGGGGUGUUCUGGCUGUGCCGCAUGGUGUGGCUGGGAAAGAUUCACUUUUGUGGUGUUUUGGUGGGGGAUGGGCUCGCGACCUAUCAGCUUGUUGGUGGGGUGAUGGCCUGCCAAGGCUUUGACGGGUAGCCGGCCUGAGAGGGUGGGCGGUCACACUGGGACUGAGAUACGGCCCAGACUCCUGCGGGAGGCAGCAGUGGGGGGUAUUGCACAAUGGGCGGAAGCCUGAUGCAGCGACGUCGCGUGAGGGAUGGAGGCCUUCGGGUUGUGAACCUCUUUCGCCGGUGAAGAAGGUCCUGCUCUUUGUGGUGGGGUUGACGGUAGCCGGGUUAUGAAGCGCCGGCUAACUACGUG